rnacentral:rRNA from 1 species
GAUCAUGGCUCAGGACGAACGCUGGCGGCGUGCUUAACACAUGCAAGUCGAACGGUGACGGAGAGCUUGCUCUCCUGAUCAGUGGCGAACGGGUGAGUAACACGUGGGCAACCUGCCCCAGACUUCGGGAUAACGCUUCGAAAGAGGUGCUAAUACCGAAUACGAACCUCCCUGGCAUCUGGGAGGUUGGAAAGUUUUUCGGUCUGGGAUGGGCCCGCGGCCUAUCAGCUUGUUGGUGAGGUAACGGCUCACCCAAGGCGACGACGGGUAGCCGGCCUGAGAGGGCGACCGGCCACACUGGGACUGAGACACGGCCCAGACUCCUACGGGAGGCAGCAGUGGGGAAUAUUGCGCAAUGGGCAAAAGCCUGACGCAGCAACGCCGCGUGAGGGAUGACGGCCUUCGGGUUGUAAACCUCUUUCAGCAGGGAAGAAGCGAAAGUGACGGUACCUGCAGAAGAAGCACCGGCUAACUACGUG